rnacentral:rRNA from 1 species
GUUUCGCCCGCCCGUGACUCUGCGAGAAGUCCAUUGAACCUUAUCAUUUAGAGGAAGGAGAAGUCGUAACAAGGUUUCCGUAGGUGAACCUGCGGAAGGAUCAUUG